rnacentral:lncRNA from 10 species
AAAGGAGCCGCGUCCCCGAUGUGAGGGAGCGUCUGUAAACUCCCCUUCGGGCUGCCCGCGUCCACCCGAGGACACGCCGGCAAGCAGCGGGGGAAAAAGGAAGCCGAGAUCUCCAAAGGCUCCCCGGAUGCCUGGCGGUCACCUCUCCAGCCACAGGUCCCGGAGGUUUCCUUGGGGUCAGGUCCUGGGGCCGGGGGUCAAAGACCACUGAGGCCUAAGGAUCCUCUGAAGCGUCGCAGGACGGUGACGCUCCCGCGAGUUCAGCGCCCUGUGAAACCCCUUGCAAUUGGCCAGUUCGGGGCGGUAGGCGGGGACACCUUCUCAUCCGCCCAAUGAGCUGACCCCGUACAAAAGGCCGAAUGCGAGCAUGACCGACGGGAGGAGAAGUGUGGAUGCUCCCUAAACCGGGGGCUGGCCCUGGGCCGGGGCGCGGGCGGGACGUGGGGGACCGCGAGCGGCGGGGGCGGGGCGAGCCCGUGGGGGAGGGGCGCUUCCGGUCCCCCCUCCCGCCCACGCAACAAGCAGGACCGGGUCGGGAGGCCCCCAGACCCGCGAGCGCGCGGGACAGUCCGUUCGCCAACGCGCGACCGUGCUGGCCCCCGGGCUCUCCCGGCCCCCCCGCCCGCAUUUCGCCGACGGCGGGGCCGCAGCCAAGGUCACGGUGUCCGGGUGCUUGGGGACCGCGGGGAGUGACCACAUUCAUUCAUUCCCUCCCUCACUCAUUCAUUCAUUCCCUCCCCUACUCCGUCAUUCCCUCCCUCACUCACUAAUUCCCUCCCUCCCUCACUAAUUCCCUCCCUCCCUCAUUCAUUCGAUCCCUCCAUCACUCAAUCAUUCCUUCCCUCUCUCACGCAUUCCCUCCCUCACUUACUCAUUCAUUGCCACCCUCACUCACUCAUUCCCUCCCUCACUUACUCAUUCAUUCCCACUCACUCAUUCCCUCCCUCACUCACUCAUUCCCUCCCUCACUCAUUCCCUCCCUCACUCAUUCACUUCCUCCCUCACUCAUUCAUUCACUCCCUCCCUCAUUCAUUCAUUCCCUCCCUCCCUCACUCAUUCCCUCCCUUACUCAUUUAUUCCAUCCCUCACUCAUUGCCUCCCUCCCUCAUUCCCUCCCUCUCUCCCUCAUUCAUUCAUUCCCUCCCUCAUUCAUUCCCUCCCUCACUCAUUCCCUCCCUCACUCAUUCAUUCCCUCCCUCACUCAUUCCCUUCCUCCCUCAUUCAUUCAUUCCCUCCCUCACUCAUGCAUUAAUUCCCUCCCUCACUCACUCAUUCCCUCCUUCACUCAUUCACUCCCUCCCUCCCUCACUCAUUCCCCCACCACCUCCCACAGGGUCCCCAGCGGGCAUUUCCCUGUCAGGCACCUGCAGCAGGAGGGGCAGCCACACACCCUGGGUCUGCCUGCCUGGGAGGCGCAGCCGUGGGGAUGUGGGUCCAGGGCAGCAGGGGCAGCCUCCCCCAGAAUCCAGUCCCUGGAAGCCAUGCACAGCCCUGUCCCACCAAGACCAGCGGGGGCCUGGCCUGGCUGCAACUCCCAGGCUCAGAGCCUCCGUGGCCUGUCUAGACACCUGCUGUCCUGGCCCCCAGCCUUGAGGUCCUGGGAAUCUGCUUUUUUUUUUUCCUUUUUUUUGUGAGAUGGAGUCUCACUGUGUUGCCCAGGCUAGAGUGCAGUGGCGCCAUCUUGGCUUACUGCAACCUCCACCUCCUGAGUUCAAGCGAUCCUCCUGCCUCAGCCUCCCGAGUAGCUGGGAUUACAGGCGUGCACCACCACACCCGGCUAAUUUUUGUAUUUUUAAUAGAGACGGGGUUUCACCAUGUUGGCUAGGCUGGUCUCAAACUCCUGACUUCAAGUGAUCCGCCCACCUCGGCCUCCCAAAGUGCUGGGAUUACAGGUGUGGACCACCACGCCCAGCUGAAAUCUGCAUUCUUAACCAGCCCCCUGGGCAAGCCUGGCAGAGGGAUAUGGCCCUUUGGCUUCCUGACAUGGGCUAAGGUUCCAACGCCAUCUUUCUGGCGAAGAUGCCAGCACAGGGCUGUGUGGGGAGGCGUCAGCCAGUAAAAGCCGUGGCUGAAGAAAAGCAAGACAGCCACGGGCCUCGGUGGAUCCCGCUGCAGCCUCAGGCACAGAGAGGGCAGGGCUGGUGAGGUGGGGGGCUUGUCAUGAGUGGGGCUUGGGGAGACUGACUGGAUGUGGUGUGUGGCUGGGGAGGGCCUGGGCCUGAACCUGUGGGCCAUGGGAGCCAUAGAAGGUUGUGGAACAGGAGAAGUAAGACAAGGCCCUGGUUCCCUGUGUGUGUGUGGUGAGGGACUGAGGAGACAUGGCUCAGGCAUCUAGAGAAUUCCUGUCCUGGUGGGAAGUAGUGCCAGGAGGGGCUGGGGUUUGGGGAGGCUGUGGCAGGUGAGGGUGAGGGACAUGGAGCAGGUAGGGGUGAGGGUCAUGGAGCAGGUGGGGGUGAGGGGCAUGGAGCAGGUGGGGGAGGGAAGAGGCUCCCUCAGUUGUGCAUCCUCAGCCCACAAGUGUCCUUUGAGCAGCCUGCACCUGGCACACGUUUUCAAGGAGAGGGGACUUGUUGGGUCCAGCUCCCUGGGUACAAAGGAGAAACUGAGGCUUGGAGAGGGUGGGGGGUUUGAAUCAGUAACUAUAAGAUCCUGGGCAAGGCUUGUGGCUGACUGUGCCAGGCACGCGCCCACCUUUGCCCUGGUCCCCUUGGGAGGGGAGCAGGAAGUGUGAUGCAGAGCUGCCUGCGGUAGGGCGGGACCUCCAGUGCCCUGGGUGCCCCCUCCGGGGCCUGCUGGGGCCAGGCUCUGCACAGGGGUUUGAGAGCAGAGGCCUCUUCACUGAGGGCCGAUUCCCCCAGAGGAAUAAGGGCCUCUGCAGUAGAGUGAAGGUGGACCCUUACCCCGGAGCACGCACAAAAACCAGCUCAAAAGUCAGCCUCGGGCCAGGCGCGGUGGCUCACGCUGGUAAUCCCAGGACUUUGGGAGGCUGAGUAGGGCAGAUCGCUUGAGCUCAGGAGUUUGAGACCAGCCUGCCCAACAUGGUGAAACCCUGUCUCUACUAAAAAUGCAAAAAUUAGUUGGGUGUGGUGGUGCACGCCUGUAAUUCCAGCUACUUCGAAGGCUGAGGCAGGAGAAUCUCCUGAACACGGGAGGCAGAGGUUGCAGUGAGCCGAGAUGGCGUCACUGCACUCCAGCUUGGGCAACAGAACGAGACUUCAUUU